CGUGAAGAGGUGGAACAUCGCCGCUUCACCCGACGCGAGCCCCACCGCCAUCACCAUGUAGCCGAGCUGCGAAAGUGUGGAGUAAGCGAGGAUGCGCUUAAUGUCGUUCUGCUGCGUCGCGAUAAGCGCGGCCAUCAACGCGGUGAUGCCGCCGAUCCAGGCGAUCACCGUCAGCGCAGUCGGCGAAACUUGGAUCACGAAGCUGACGCGAACGAGCAUAUAGACGCCGGCGGCAACCAUCGUCGCGGCAUGGAUCAACGCGGAGAUUGGUGUCGGGCCCUCCAUUGCGUCGGGCAGC
rnacentral:misc_RNA from 1 species